CGGGCAGGAAUGCGGGGUGGCAGCUCACGCGCUGUUCACGUGCCCGCGCUGGCAGGGACAGGGGGACCCGUCUGCUCCUUUUCCCUUCGCUCUGCCGGGCCGGGUCUGAACCGGGGCAAGGGGUGCCCGGGCUGCGUGUGCAAACCCGCACACGGUGCCCCUGGCUGGGGGAUACCCCGUGACGCAGGUUGCCAGCAGCCACGCGGAGCGGGCCUGUUUGCAUGUUGUUAAGGAGCUGACGCUCUCAGUGAAGACAUUUUCCCUGCAAUAUUUAUGGCAACACAGUGCGGAUUUUGCAUGAGCAGGGACUGGCGGACUCCAAACCUGGGCAUUUUAAGAGUUCUUUGUUUCAGAACUCCUCAAGGUCAAGUUCUACUACAACCUAUUUUUCUACUGAAGACAAGCCCCAAAUGGAGAAAUGGCACAGAUUAUUAUAGAAUGAAUUAAAAAUGGUAAAAUAAUUAAAGUGAAAAUUAUACUACAAUGCAAAGGAAAUUAAAUAAAACUUAAAAUAAUGUGAGUGCAUCAGAUUUGUGUAUCAUUCUGUUUUUUUCCUUUGCUUUUAAAGUAUUUAUUUGUUUUAGUUCUGUUGGGGUUGUAGCCUACUAAUGUAAUCUGCUAUGUGUAGGAAAUGUUGAGUCCCUAGCUAGUACUGAGAUUCAGAAUGAAUUUAGAAUACUUCCAGGAGUAUGUUUUUUAAUUUCACGGAGGAUAUGGAUGAUGAUUGACACAGUAGUAAUAGUUACUAAUUUGGACUAAAGUGUACAACAAUCAUUAUUACUAACAUGAACUAUGCUAAUAGUUUUAAAGUGGUUCCAAAACUGAAACAACACUAACAGUAUCACCCUUCCAACCAUAGCUUUCAAGUCUCCACGUUCAGAGGUCAGACAAUUUUUGCUCUUCUCUGCUGUUCCAUCAGACCUUUGCUUGCCUCCCCGUUGUCUGCCUUGUGUUAUAGCUGAUGCCAGUGACCCUUAGUCCGCAGACCAGACUGGCACUUUAUAAAACUUUAAUAACAAGGAUAACUACUUUUCUGCAGUGUUCAAUCAGGUUCAAAAUGUUGGGCUGCAUCAAUAUUAGAACCUUACUUAAAAAAAAAAAAAGAGAAUGAAGGCACAGAAAAAAACUGAUAAAAAAGGGGACGUGGGAUGACAGAGUCAACAGAGGUCAGUUAAUCACUUGCAUUCACUGAAUUUAACAGUAAGUUAAGACCUUAUGCUUUGGCCUAACCUUCUCACCACACUUCAUCAUGUUCACUUUCCCUUCAUUCAAAAUUUCCAGUGAGAGUAUAGAGAUUUGUUCACAUUGCUGAGUGCUGUAAUAAUUUCUCUUUAAAACGGGACAGAUUCUCUCCUGCAUUAAGGCUUAUUACCACUCCACUGGUGCAAAGUAGCCCUAAUACCAUCUUAGCCAGCCACAGAAGGAUCACCUUUAUGUAGGCAUCCCUGUGUACCACAGAGCCACGACAGCAACUUUUAAGAAACCCUAUUACCACCAUAGAUCUAUGCCACCCAAGGAUCCCCUAUGUUUGUACACAUCUUUACCUCACAGUGAUCAUAGGCUGUUUUAACAAUCCCUCCAAGUAUUGGUAGCUGGCACUGUGAGAUUGGCCUGAUGCAGAGCAAUAGCAGGCUUGGGUGAUGGGUUUUACACAGUAUAUGAGUGCUUCUUGGCCACAGGUGUGAAUCAGGUGCAAUUCACAAACUUCUCUGCAGAGGAGCUGACUGAAUGUUAAGACAUAUGUACUGUGUGCUAAUAAUUUUCCUCUCUGUACAUCUUUCAGCAGUUGUCAAUGGCAUGCAGGAUUGAGUUUUUAGGGCAAGAUUGUUGCCAGAGUCAAAGGUAUGCACAUAAAGGUGUUAGUUAACCGGAGAGAAGGGCUCAAAGAACUUUCUUCCCUUUCAAACAUUUACAGGAAAUGGACAGCUAGAUAGGGGAGUACAUAAGGCACCCUCACAUGGGAUAUAGCAGUGAGUAUGAUGCUUGUGCAGACCUGGAAACUGGAAGGCAUUGCUCUUUGGGAAACUCAAGCUCCCCCGCCUCCCCCCGAGUUCCUGGUGGGAUGGUGCCAUUUCACAUCAGUUAGCUGUAUGCAUCCUGAACUCUGUUGACUUCAGUGAAAGUUUAGGUACACAAGCAUACAGCAAAAGAUAAGUGUUUGUAAAAUAGUUACAUCAUUUUAAACUCUUUAUGUUAAUUAUAGAAAAUUCAUAUUUACAUAAGAUUAAGUUGUCUUCAGUCAAUGAUGUUUAGUGAGAGUUUGGACCCAAUCUUGCAAUUGACACCUGGAGGGUACAGGACUGCACGUGAAAUUAGUCAAUUGUAGUGUUGGAGCUUUAGCUGGAAAAGAAUCGUAAUGUCUGGGGCAUUGAGUCACCACAAUCAGCUGGGCUGGCGAGCUCUCCACGCUGAUCAAACAGGAAAUGGGAAUUCAAAAGUCCCUGGGUCUUUAAUAGGGAAGGGUUGUUUUCUGUGUACCUGGCUGCUGUGCAGCAGAGUUGAAAAUGAUCUCCAGACUGGUCUCAGUGGAGAAUUGUGAGACACCUCCUUGAGCCCAAUUCAGUCAAUUUACACAAUGCUGUGCUAUACUGCCUCUCUGUCGACCCAUCAACAUUGAAUUAAGUGCUAUGCCUCUCAUGGAGGUGAAGUAAUUAAGUCAUGUUACAGGUGAGUUAGGUCGGAUGGAAGGGACCUGGUAGUGUAGACACAUACAUUAUUAAGUCAACAGAAGGUGGCUUCCCUCGAGAUAAGUUUGUACAGGCUGAACCUCUCUAAUCUGGCACUCCCUUGUCUGCCAACAUCCAUGGUCUGGCAUAGGUGUUGACUCCAUGGGUGCUCUGGGGCUGGAGCAACCCCUGGGAAAAAUUAGUGGGUGUGGAGUACCCACUUAUGCCAAGCUCCCCUCUCUCCUUCCCCCUCUCGCUCACCAGCAGCCCCGUGUUUAUCAACUCCUCUUCCUCCCUCCCAGCACUUCCUGAGCACCACGAACAGCUGAUUUGCAGCGUUCAAGCUCUGGGAGGGAGAGGGAGGACCUGGGACCGGUGGAUGGGAUCCUGGGUGAGGGGCCGGCUGCUGGGACCCCAGGUGGCAGUAGGGCUCCCGAGUGGGGGGCCAUGCUGGAUGCAAAGCCUACUUCCCAUUCCUUUGGAGACCUGCUGGCACGCUGCAUUGCCCUCCCGUGGUUUGGCAAAUUCUCUGGUUUGGCCAGGUCAGGUCAGGUCCCGAGGGUUCUGGACUAGAGAGGUUCAAUCUGUAGUGUAGACGAAGCUUUAGAUUAUGAUGAUCUGUUUUUGAAUGUAGAAUUUGUAGUUAAUCUGUAAGUGAGCAUGUAAACUUAGCAUUUAUGUGACAGCCUUCCAGAUUUUAAAUAUAGCUGAUCUUCUGUCCCUCCUUGUGUAAAUCCAAAAGCUAAAAAUAUUGUAGAACAGUAAGUCUUUGCAGCAGUUUACAGAUAGUAAAACAUGCCAGUACAUUUAUUAUAUAGAAACUGGUCCUAAAUUUUACCACUGUGAUGUAAAAUGUGUCAAACUAACAAAAAAACAUUUUUCUAUAAAUUAAAAGGAACUAUGAAAGACAUGUCUAUUUAUUUAGGUCCCAUAAAAUUAAAUAUCAUACAAUAUGAACUGAUCUGUUUUCAUGCUUCCAUAUAGCACAGAGGUGGGCAAACUUCUGCCCGCAGGCCACAGCCAGCCCCUGUCCUGCCUGGCCCUUGAGCUCCCAGCCCUUCUCCUGCUGUCACCCCUCCCCCACGCCACGCUGUUGCCCGGGCAGCAAUCUGGGCAGCAGGGUUGCACGUUUCUGCAGGGCAGCAUGGCAGCGUGUCUAGCUCCACCUGGGUGGUGUGGCUGCCACACUUGCUGC